rnacentral:rRNA from 1 species
UACGGAGGGUGCAAGCGUUAUCCGGAUUCACUGGGUUUAAAGGGUGCGUAGGUGGGCAGGUAAGUCAGUUGUGAAAUCUCCGGGCUUAACUCGGAAAGGUCAACUGAUACUGUGCGACUAGAGUGCGGAAGGGGCAACUGGAAUUCUCGGUGUAGCGGUGAAAUGCGUAGAUAUCGAGAGGAACACCUGCGGCGAAGGCGGGUUGCUGGGCCGACACUGACGCUGAUGCGCGAAAGCCAGGGGAGCGGACGGG